CAGAAAACUAGGGUUCCAACUACUUGUCACCAUGGAAGAUCUGUCCUUUUUCACGGGAAAAAAUUUAUUCCCUAGGUGGUUUUUGCAGGAGUGGAUAGGGUAAGGAAGUGUACUUGCAGAGCUAAAUUGCCCUGGGACUUUUCAGGAGAGAAAAUUACUCUGUUAUUCUCUUCCUGCCCCUUUCACUCUCUAUCAGUACAGCUGCAAUGCAAAUAUAGCUGCCAUGCUCAGUUUUACUGGGGCUUCUCUUCACUGAGUGGGUAAAUGCAUUUUACGGAGACACCUGGGAUAUCUCAGGGCAACAAGAGUGUUCUCAACAGUUGAGUAGAGCAAGGUUUCAGAACAUGUAGCCCGUACAUUGCUAUCUUAGCUGAUACCAUUUUUGUGUCUCCUAGUUUAGAAACCUUGGUGUGUUUAGCUUCCACAGUAAGGCUUCUGGUUCCAGAGGUGGUUCCAAAUCCUGGUGGAGAUCCACAGGCUCAUCCUGAAGAAGAUGUCACAGAACCAUGGAAUCAUAGAAUGGUUGGUAUCAGAAGGGUGGAGAUCAUCUAAUCCAACCCCUUUGCUAAAGCAGGUUCACCUAGAGCAGGUUACACACAAUUAUGUCCAGGUGAGUUUUGAGAAUCUACAAAGAAGGCAACAAGGAUUUGUUUCCCAGAGAAGCUGUGGCUACCCUGUCCCUGGCAGUGUCCAAGGCCUGGUUGGACAGGGCUUGGAGCACCCUGGUCUGGUGGAAGGUGUCCCUGCCCAUGGCAGGGGAUGGAGCAGGAUGGUCUUUACAACCCAAACUCUUCUGUGAUUAUAUGAAACACAGGGCCUUGUCAGAUCACCUCAUGCAAGGAGGCAAAGUGGAAAUUCAGCUUGUGGCCAUGAUCUUCCCAAGGACUGAAGAGGAUGACCUCUGAUGCCCUGGCCUCUUCCUCAAAGAGGGGGAAAAAAAAUCCUGAAAUCCCAAAAAAAGAGCAACAGUUGAAAUGGCGUUCUGUGCAGAGAGUUUCCACAAGGCACAGAGGUCUCUCCCUUGGGACUUCCUGGGAGAACUUCACCUGCCAGUUCCAGCAGACACAACGUACAAAGCCCUGGAAAGUCAGAAUUCAGCUUUUCCUGGUUCUGAGGACACCAUCCAGUCUGAAAGAAAAGCUCUGCUGAAGCUGCCAAAUUGGGCAGACUCUUCAAGAUUAAUUUUAUGCUCAUGUUGGUGCCACCCUCCCUUGCCACACAGAUUCUUCUUCUAUUCAACCCGUAGCUUAAACCACCAUGAAAAAGGAGCAAGCUGUGGAGUUUACAGAAGUCGAAGAGGAGACCUCCCCUCACUUCAGACCCCAAAGGCAGGGGUGCAAUUGAAGGAAAAAGCAGCAGCUGUCUGCAUUUUGUGCUGUUAGGGACAGUUCUGAAGCAUAUGGGAUGCAUUUAUUGUUAUGAAACCUCCCUGUAUCACAAGCCCUGAUAAGAGCAGGAUUGAGUGUUCCUAGCAAAAGCUUGAAUGUUUUGAUUUUUUGAACUUGCAGGAUUAAAAGAUCUUCUGUGCCUGGGAAGUUGUGUGGGUGGGAGGACAGAGCCAGAUGUUUGCCAAACCCUCCCUGAUAUUUUUCAUCUAUAUUUUUAUUAAAAUGGGAGCUGAAACAGCACACAGACUGAAAGUUUGGAUUUGGAUAAUUUUAUGGAUGAGUUAAGCAACAUUUUUCUCGUUUAUUACAUUGUAAAGCUAUAGAAAGCUCUAGUUAAUUAGAAGCUGUGCAUUCUCUCAGGAUCUCUGAUGCUUUAGAAGAAAAGAACAGCACUCUUGUAGCUCACUCCUCUCUUAUGCUGUAAACAUUGCUACCUGGU
rnacentral:lncRNA from 12 species